GUUCCAUAUAAAGGGAUGCGGUUGUGGGGGGGAGGGAGGAGGAGGAAGGAGUGAAGAAUUUAAUUAUUAAUCGACGAUUUUCUUUUUCGCGAUAUAUUCAUUUUAUUGUAACAUAAAAGUUGAAAUUGGUUAGGACAAGAUUCCGGUUUACUUGCUCUAUUUGAUCUAAGAACUGCGCCUGGACUUGGAUAUGGUCUCAUUUGAUAAAGUGGCCCCGAAGCUGUAGUAUCUGCACCUGUCUUAGCUUCGUUAUGUCUAGCUAAUCCAUCUGACCAUUUUCCUCUAUAAGACAUUAAAAAAAAAAAAAAAGAAAAAAAAAUUGCGUUUUGUCAUAAGAAAUGCAAAAAAAAAAAAAAAUACAGUAUGAAGUAUAA